GAUCAAAGUGUAGUAUCUGUUCUUAUCAGCUUAAUAUCUGAUACAGUCCUCAUAGAGGGCUCAGUAUAUUAACCUGAUUUUUGAACUCUGGCGGAGUGAAAGGGGCUUGCUCCACCUCUGCCGCGGGUUGGC
rnacentral:snRNA from 1 species